CCUACGUGAGGCAGCAGUGGGGAAUAUUGCACAAUGGGGGAAACCCUGAUGCAGCCAAGCCGCGUGAGUGAAGAAGUCAUUCGUGAUGUAAAGCUCUAUCAGCCGGGAAGAAAAUGACGGUACCUGACUCAGAAGCCCCGGCUAACUACGUGCCAGCAGCCGCGGUAAUACGUAGGGGGCAAGCGUUAUCCGGAUUUAAUGGGGGUAAAGGGAGCGUAGACGGCGACGCAAGUCGGAAGUGAAAUGCCUGGGCUCAACCCUGGAACUGCUUUGGAAACUGGGUGGCUAGAGUGCAGGAGAGGUAAGCGGAAGUCCUAGUGUAGCGGUGAAAUGCGUAGAUAUUAGGAGGAACACCAGUGGCGAAGGCGGCUUACUGGACUGUAACUGACGCUGAGGCUCGAAGGCGUGGGGAGCAAACAGGAUUAGAUACCCCUGUAGUC
rnacentral:rRNA from 1 species